UACGGAGGGAGCUAGCGUUGUUCGGAAAUACUGGGCGUAAAGCGCACGUAGGCGGCGCAGCAAGUCAGGGGUGAAAUCCCGGGGCUCAACCCCGGAACUGCCCUUGAAACUGCAGUGCUAGAAUCUUGGAGAGGCGAGUGGGAUUCCGAGUGUAGAGGUGAAAUUCGUAGAUAUUCGGAAGAACACCAGUGGCGAAGGCGACUCGCUGGACAAGUAUUGACGCUGAGGUGCGAAAGCGUGGGGAGCAAACAGG
rnacentral:rRNA from 1 species